GGUUACGCCAUAAAUGUUUAAUAAUCCUCUGCACUGAUGAAAUAAUCGUAAUGAUCUUAAAUUCGUGCCUAUUUAUACUUGAAUAUCAGGGAACCUGAAAUUAUAUUCUCUUCAUCAAGAAUAAGUCAAACAGUUAAAAUUUUUAAUGGAAACAGCGUACUCCUCCAAAGCUCUAAGCUUUUGUCGGAAAACUAUUGCUGGACAUAAUCCUAUCCCUUCAAAAUUUUGGAAGCGAAACAUCAUUCAAUAAGAUGGAGAGUUGUGUAAAGGUUGUGUUAUCAGGUACAAUCUGUGUUGCACAAUGAGGUCGAAGCUCACUUUACAUAUAGUUGCUAGUUACAAAAUCAGUAUGACUGUUUGAAACACCAGUAAUGGUUGUAUUUUUGUAAUCUGAGGUUGUUUCAAUGAUCGGUUAUGCAACACAUUCUCAAUUUUUCCAGUGAUGGAAAGUUGAUGUUGUUCUGUCAGAUGGUUUGAGUCGUCCAUCAAACAGCUGAUGUGCAUGUGUAUUGGUAGGUUGUGCAUUAGAUUAUGGUGAGAUCAAGGUUCCAGAAGGGGAUUGGAUCUUACUUAAGGUUAAUCACAAUUAUGUCUCUAUGUAUGGCGUUUCCAUGGCAAGCCUUCCCC
rnacentral:sRNA from 1 species